rnacentral:rRNA from 1 species
AUACGUAGGGGGCGAGCGUUGUCCGGAUUUACUGGGCGUAAAGGGCGCGCAGGCGGUUCCGUAAGUCGGCCGUGAAAUCUCCCGGCUCAACUGGGAGGGGUCGGUCGAAACUGCGGGGCUUGGAAGGCGGUAGGGGAGGAUGGAAUUCCCGGUGUAGUGGUGAAAUGUGUAGAUAUCGGGAGGAACACCGAUGGCGAAAGCGAUCCUCUGGGCCGUUCUUGACGCUGAGGCGCGAAAGCGUGGGGAGCGAACUGAAUUAGAUACUCAGGUAGUCCACGCCCUAAACGAUGGACACUAGGUGUAGGGGGUAUCGACCCCCCCUGUGCCGCAGCUAACGCAAUAAGUGUCCCGCCUGGGGAGUACGGCCGCAAGGCUAAA